rnacentral:rRNA from 1 species
UAGAGUUUGAUCAUGGCUCAGGACGAACGCUGGCGGCGUGCUUAACACAUGCAAGUCGAACGGUAAGGCCCUUCGGGGUACACGAGUGGCGAACGGGUGAGUAACACGUGGGUAAUCUGCCCUGNACUUCGGGAUAAGCCUGGGAAACUGGGUCUAAUACCGGAUAUUCAACUCUUGCCGCAUGGUGNGGGUUGGAAAGUUUUUCGGUGCAGGAUGAGCCCGCGGCCUAUCAGCUUGUUGGUGGGGUAAUGGCCUACCAAGGCGACNACGGGUAGCCGGCCUGAGAGGGUGAUCGGNCACACUGGGACUGGAGACACGGUCCAGACUCCUACGGGACGNAGCA